CCUCAUCUUCGAUUUCCAAUAAGUAUAACUUGCCACUCAAUUCAACAAGGGUGGAUGUUUGAUGGUGCUACCUUCCAUCAUAGCCUUCUUGGAUGUAAACUAGACUCUAGAUUUCACCAAAUACAUCUGGUGUCAAGCUCUUAUACCAAUUGAAAGUGCACAUAUCUAAUUUGUAUGAAACUAUUUUAAUGAACUGUCAAAAUAGAUAUUGUAAUAGCUGUUUCAACAAUGAGUUUCGAGAAUUAAGAACAGUGAAAUAUAAGUAAAGAAUGAACAAAAAGGAAUCCAUGAAAUUGAUUAUGCAAUUCAGUUCAACAACCUAAAUCUAUAAGGCAUUACCUGGAGAAUAAAUCCAAUAUGCAAACUUUCACAAUAUAACCUUAGAUAACCAAUCCAAUCUACCUAAGCUCAUCAAAGAUUAUUGUACCCUCAAAGUUGCACAAUUUUUGUGUACUUACUCGCCACUCAAACAACUCUUCCCGAAAAAGGAAAUAAUCAAUUAAACAAAAAGUGAAAGUAACAA
rnacentral:lncRNA from 1 species